rnacentral:rRNA from 1 species
AUUGAACGCUGGCGGCAGGCCUAACACAUGCAAGUCGAGCGAGAGGCGGACGGGUGAGUAAUGUAUGGGGACUGCCCGAAAGAGGGGGAUAACUACUGGAAACGGUAGCUAAUACCGCAUACUAUCGGAUAACCCAUAUGGGAUUAGCUAGUAGGUGAGGUAAUGGCUCACCUAGGCGACGAACCCUAGCUGGUCUGAGAGUAUGAUUCGCCAAACUGGGACUGAGACACGGCCCAGAAGCCGACGGAGGAAGAAGUGGGGAAUAUUGCGCAAUGGGCGAAAGCCUGAUGCAGCCGUGCCGCGGGUAUGAAGAAGGCCCUAGAGUUGUAAAGUACUUUCAGUCGGGAGGCGUUACCGACAGAAGAAGCACCGGCUAACUCCGUGCCAGCAGCCGCGGUAAUUC